rnacentral:rRNA from 1 species
CGGUGUUCAACUGGCGUGUCCGCGGGACGUCCUGCCGGUGGGCUUAUCCCGCAAGGGGCGGCCCAACUUCAAAUCCCAUCGCGGUGCUCUUCACUGAGUGUCGAGGUGGGCCGGCACGUUUACUUUGAACAAAAUUAGAGUGCUUAAAGCAGGCUAAAACUUCGCCUGAAUACUGUGUGCAUGGAAUAAUGGAAUAGGACCUCGGUUCUAUUUUGUUGGUUUUCGGAACCCCGAGGUAAUGAUAUAUAGGAACGGAGGGGGGCAUUCGUAUUGCGACGUUAGAGGUGAAAUUCUUGUAUCGUCGCAAGACGGACAGAAGCGAAAGCAUUUGCCAAAAACGCUUUCAUUGAUCAAGAACGAAAGUUAGAGGUUCGAAGGCGAUCAGAUACCGCCCUAGUUCUAACCAUAAACGAUGCCAGCUAGCGAUCCGUCGACGUUCCUCCGAUGACUCGACGGGCAGCUUCCGGGAAACCAAAGCUUUUGGGUUCCGGGGGAAGUAUGGUUGCAAAGCUGAAACUUAAAGGAAUUGACGGAAGGGCACCCCCAGGAGUGGAGCCUGCGGCUUAAUUUGACUCAACACGGGAAACCUCCCCAGGCCCGGACACCGGAAGGAUUGACAGAUUGAGAGCUCUUUCUUGAUUCGGUGGGUGGUGGUGCAUGGCCGUUCUUAGUUGGUGGAGCGAUUUGUCUGGUUAAUUCCGAUAACGAACGAGACUCUAGCCUGCUAACUAGGCGUAUUUUCGACAUCUCAAAGGUCCGUCGUCCCGGCCCUCGGGUCGUGGGCGUGCGCGAUUUUUACUGUCGGCGUACUAUCAAUUCUUCUUAGAGGGACAGGUGGCUUCUAGCCGCACGAGAUUGAGCAAUAACAGGUCUGUGAUG